rnacentral:tRNA from 1 species
CUCCCACGCCAGGAAUCGAAUUCGGGCCUCCUGGGUGAGAGCCAGGUAUCCUAGCCACUAGACCACGUGGGA